AGCCUGUCCUACCUCAGUUCUGAAGAAAAAGUGCGCUACAAAUGAAAAGGAAAUAUUCAACCUCAAUCGCAAGACCCCUGCUAGAAGAUCAGCGGCAUCAACGGUGAGAGCAUUAGCCACAUCUGAUAUUGCUAGCAAAUACGACAAACUGCUAGAAAAACGAUUGAAAAUUGCAGAGAUGCAGGAAGAAAUGUUGGCAUUGGAUUUGAAAUCGAAAUCGAAUGAGAUUGCCCAGAAAAAUGAGGAGCAUGCCAAAAAAAUGGAACUGCUUGACAUAGAAAUUAAAAUAAAAAGAAAACUUUUAAGUAAUUGCUAAUUCAUAUAUUUUUUGUUGUAUAUUAUAUCAAUUGUCAAAUUUA